ACGUGAGCAAAUCCAGGUUGUAAGUGUGGGACGGACACACCGGCAGGGGGCUCACCAGCAGUGGGCUGGGGCAGGCGGCUCGGCCUCACAGGAGGAUCUGUAUGUAUAGGGACCCGGUCUCUGCCCCUUAGAGGUGGGCGAAUUUCUGCGCCAGGUGCUGGGCCUCGACCUCCUGCAGCCACAGAGGAGCAGGAGGUUCCCAGGGCCCUGCUCCGUCAGGCGCCGCCACCGCCUUUGUUAUUUAUGCCCCGCCCUGUUCCGAACAGGGAUGGCAUGCUCUCAGCAAUGCAGGCCAAAGUCAGCCCGACAAGGUGGCUGAGCCCGUUCCCGCUCCGCCCUGCUCAGCACGGCUCCGGACCCUGGGCCAGAGCGGGAGGCACCAGAGGAAUGCGGGAGGGACAAGAGGUCUGAGCCCAGGACUCCGAACACGAGGAUGAAAUACCAGCUGGGCCCCCAUAGCCCACUGGCCACGGGCAGAGCGACCAGCCCUGCCUUCUCCAGCCCAGGUCGCACCCUGACUCGCCGACAUUCGGGCCGGACAGCUCGGCAGUGGGCGUCCCCUGUCCCGGGCCCUGUGGGUGCUGAGCAGCACCCUGACCCCUGCCCACCCGAAGCCAGCAGUCCCCAGACGUGCAGAGCCAGCGGGAAGGCAUCUUUAGAUUCCGGUAACCCCGGCCCUGCCCCCGGCCCCCACUCCUCUCCACCCUCCCGAGUCCUCCAGUUCCCGGCACCUCAGUCACACGUGUGAUAUCCCCUCCUCAGUUCUCAGAAGGUCUGCUUCGAACCCAGGAGAAAUGACUAAGGGACGGGCCAUAAACCAGCCUUCCCAUUAGGCCCGGAGGAAAAAUAAGCCACUUGUCCUUCUGGGCACGCUUCCCGAGGACCUUGGACGAGCUUCGCGAAGGCCUGUCCUCCUCCCACUCCAGCAUCCUUCCCAGGGCUGGGCGUCGCCAGAGCGGCCGCGGGGCCGGCCUCCCGAGGGGUCUCCCGCCACCUCCAGAUGGGGCCUCGGCAGCAGGCACCGAGGGUGAACAGGGUCAGUGGGCAGAGCGGCUCCAGAGAACGGCGCUUUUCACACUAUUGCUAAAAUAUGGGUGUUUGCGAGGGUUGCUACAGAAACACUGAGUGUAGAAUCCAAAAUAGGGCGUCUAGACAAACUCCUACUGUCUGACCUUUGCUGUGUUUCCUCAUCCACCCAACCUGGCCCAGCGAGCGGGUGACUAAGCAGUGAGUCACUCGACACCCUGUCACAGGCCCGACGAGGCCCAGGUCACUGCUGUAAAUUUCAGCCUGUCUGCGCCGACGACGCGCAGCUCCCCACCGCCAGCACCGUCUCGUGUGGCUUCUGAGCCGCGAUGUCUGGAUCGUCAGGAACUAAUGUCAAGUCUGUUAAGUCCAGAAGCCGAGGGACUGCCGCAGAGCAGAGCUCGCAUUUGGCGGGAGCCGUGAGAAGGAAGGCGGCGACAGGCAGCUGGACCUGGACGGAGAGAGGCGCGACCUGCAGGCCUGUACUGCGGGGCCCGGGGCGCUGGUGCUGGCCUGCGGGCGGAUCCUCUCGGCCCUGCACUGAGCACCUCCCCACAGCUGGCAGCUGUAUCUCACAGUGGCCUGUGGGGCGGCCCUGAUGCCAGGAGACACAUCUGUGAUCUGAAUAAACUCAACAUGCAAACACUUGA